rnacentral:rRNA from 1 species
AUUGAACGCUGGCGGUAGGCCUAACACAUGCAAGUCGAACGCGAAAGUCCUUCGGGAUGAGUAGAGUGGCGGACGGGUGAGUAACGCGUAGGAAUCUGUCCUGUAGCGGGGGAUAACGUUUCGAAAGGAAAGCUAAUACCGCAUACGCCCUCCGGGGGACAGCGGGGGAUCUUCGGACCUCGUGCUAUAGGCGGAGCCUGCGUCGGAUUAUCUAGUCGGUGUGGUAACGGCUCACCAAGGCGACGAGCCGUAGCUGGGCUGAGCGGAUGAUCAGCGACACCGGAACGGAGACACGGGCCGAACUCCUACGGGAGGCAGCAGUGGGGAAUAUUGCGCAAUGGGCGAAAGCCUGACGCAGCCAUACCGCGUGUGUGAAGAAGGCCUUCGGGUUGUAAAGCACUUUCAGUGGGGAGGAAAAGCUGGUGGCUAAUAUCCAUCGGCCUUGACGCUACCCACAGAAGAAGCACCGGCUAAUUCCGUGCCAGCCGCCGCAGUAACAC